rnacentral:rRNA from 1 species
UACGGAGGGGGCUAGCGUUGUUCGGAAUUACUGGGCGUAAAGCGCGCGUAGGCGGCUUUGUAAGUUAGAGGUGAAAGCCCGGAGCUCAACUCCGGAAUUGCCUUUAAGACUGCAUCGCUAGAAUCAUGGAGAGGUGAGUGGAAUUCCGAGUGUAGAGGUGAAAAUUCGUAGAUAUUAGGGAAGAACACCGGUGGCGAAGGCGGCCCACUGGUCCGGUACUGACGCUGAGGUGCGAAAGCGUGGGGAGCAAACAGG